rnacentral:lncRNA from 1 species
UCCGAGAAUUUUCUGGACUUUUUUUCGAGCUUUUUUCCCAUUUUUCCUAGAACAAAAUCUAUUUUUUAUAGGCUCUAAAAUUCUUGUUCAUGGACACCAAAAACUUUAUCUAGAUUGAUCAACUCUCAAAAUAUCUCUAAAAGUUUUCCUUUUAUUUUUAGAAGUUUGGAAUAUUUUUCAGGGAUUUAAAAUGAUUUCAGCUUUUUCUGGAAUUAUUUUGGAACUGAAAAUGAUUUAUUUAAAAUCCUGAAAUUAAGAAAUUUCAAAAAGUCUCCAAACCCUAGACCUAUAUAUAUGCCGGCGUAGCCCUCGACGCGCUGAUUCUAGAAGUACAACCCUUUUUUCGAGCCGCCGUUCGUAGCGCCGC